UACGUAGGGUGCGAGCGUUAAUCGGAAUUACUGGGCGUAAAGCGUGCGCAGGCGGUGAGUUAAGUCUGAUGUGAAAGCCCCGGGCUCAACCUGGGAAUGGCAUUGGAAACUGGCUCGCUGGAGUGUGGCAGAGGGGGGUGGAAUUCCGCGUGUAGCAGUGAAAUGCGUAGAGAUGCGGAGGAACACCGAUGGCGAGGGCAGCCCCCUGGGCCAACACUGACGCUCAGGCACGAAAGCGUGGGGAGCAAACAGG
rnacentral:rRNA from 1 species